rnacentral:rRNA from 1 species
UCUUUCCUCCCGAGUGCUUGCACUCAAUUGGAAAGAGGAGUGGCGGACGGGUGAGUAACACGUGGGUAACCUACCCAUCAGAGGGGGAUAACACUUGGAAACAGGUGCUAAUACCGCAUAACAGUUUAUGCCGCAUGGCAUAAGAGUGAAAGGCGCUUUCGGGUGUCGCUGAUGGAUGGACCCGCGGUGCAUUAGCUAGUUGGUGAGGUAACGGCUUACCAAGGCAACGAUGCGUAGCCGACCUGAGAGGGUGAUCGGCCACACUGGAACUGAGACACGGUCCAGACUCCUACGGGAGGCAGCAGUAGGGAAUCUUCCGCAAUGGGCGAAAGCCUGACGGAGCAACGCCGCGUGAGUGAUGAAGGUCUUCGGAUCGUAAAACUCUGUUAUUAGGGAA